rnacentral:rRNA from 1 species
CGAGCGGACCUUUUAAAGCUUGCUUUUGAAAGGUCAGCGGCGGACGGGUGAGUAACACGUGGGCAACCUGCCUGUAAGACUGGGAUAACUUCGGGAAACCGGAGCUAAUACCGGAUAAUAUAAGGAACCUCCUGGUUCUUUAUUGAAAGAUGGUUUCGGCUAUCACUUACAGAUGGGCCCGCGGCGCAUUAGCUAGUUGGUGAGGUAAUGGCUCACCAAGGCGACGAUGCGUAGCCGACCUGAGAGGGUGAUCGGCCACACUGGGACUGAGACACGGCCCAGACUCCUACGGGAGGCAGCAGUAGGGAAUCUUCCACAAUGGACGAAAGUCUGAUGGAGCAACGCCGCGUGAGCGAUGAAGGCCUUCGGGUCGUAAAGCUCUGUUGUUAGGGAAGAACAAGUGCGAGAGUAACUGCUCGCACCUUGACGGUACCUAACCAGAAAGCCACGGCUAACUACGUGCCAGCAGCCGCGGUAAUACGUA